UCUCUCUCUCUCUCCUGCUGCAUUGUGAAGAAACUGCUUGCUUCCCUCUCACCCUCUGCAGUUUCCUGAGGCCUCCCCAGCCAUGCGGAACGGGUCUUGCUCUGUCACCCAGGCUGGAGUGCAGUGACACAAUGCUGGCUCAACCUCCUGGGCUCAAGAGAUCCUUCCACCUCGGCCUCCUGAGUAGCUGGGAUCACAGAACCUUCCACUGGCCACUCAGCGAAAGGCAGCUGAUUCAGCACCUGGAGAAGACCGGCAACAGGGCUGAGUUUCCUUGCACUGCAGAGGAGGGGAGAGGCAAGGAGUGGACAUGAGCACGGAGGAUCCAGGGCACUCCCUUGAUGGUGAUGCCCUCGAAGGGCUGCCCCGUGCCCAUUGUACAGAAUGUGGAUUCCACCCCACGCCAUGAGAGCUCUCGCGCAGGCCCAGACCACUUUAUAAGCCAUAUUUCCC
rnacentral:lncRNA from 1 species